rnacentral:rRNA from 1 species
UAACAUAAGAGUUUGAUCCUGGCUCAGGAUGAACGCUGGCGGCGUGCUUAACACAUGCAAGUCGAACGAAGAUACUUAAAAUGAGAGCUUCGGCAGGAUUUUUAUUUAUCUUAGUGGCGGACGGGUGAGUAACGUGUGGGCAACCUGCCCUAUACUGGGGAAUAAUCACUGGAAACGGUGACUAAUACCGCAUGUCAUUACGGAAGGGCAUCCUUCUGUAAGAAAAGGAGUAAUUCGGUAUAGGAUGGGCCCGCAUCUGAUUAGCUAGUUGGUGAGAUAACAGCCCACCAAGGCGACGAUCAGUAGCCGACCUGAGAGGGUGAUCGGCCACAUUGGGACUGAGACACGGCCCAAACUCCUACGGGAGGCAGCAGUGGGGAAUAUUGCACAAUGGGGGAAACCCUGAUGCAGCAACGCCGCGUGAAGGAUGAAGGUUUUCGGAUCGUAAACUUCUAUCAAUAGGGACGAAGAAAGUGACGGUACCUAAAUAAGAAGCCCCGGCUAACUACGUGCCAGCAGCCGCGGUAAUACGUAGGGGGCAAGCGUUAUCCGGAAUUACUGGGUGUAAAGGGAGCGUAGGCGGCACGCCAAGCCAGAUGUGAAAGCCCGAGGCUUAACCUCGUGGAUUGCAUUUGGAACUGGCGAGCUAGAGUACAGGAGAGGAAAGCGGAAUUCCUAGUGUAGCGGUGAAAUGCGUAGAUAUUAGGAAGAACACCAGUGGCGAAGGCGGCUUUCUGGACUGAAACUGACGCUGAGGCUCGAAAGCGUGGGGAGCAAACAGGAUUAGAUACCCUGGUAGUCCACGCCGUAAACGAUGAGUGCUAGGUGUCGGGGAGGAAUCCUCGGUGCCGCAGCUAACGCAAUAAGCACUCCACCUGGGGAGUACGACCGCAAGGUUGAAACUCAAAGGAAUUGACGGGGGCCCGCACAAGCGGUGGAGCAUGUGGUUUAAUUCGAAGCAACGCGAAGAACCUUACCAAGGCUUGACAUCCCGAUGACCGCUCUAGAGAUAGAGCUUCUCUUCGGAGCAUCGGUGACAGGUGGUGCAUGGUUGUCGUCAGCUCGUGUCGUGAGAUGUUGGGUUAAGUCCCGCAACGAGCGCAACCCUUAUCCUUAGUAGCCAUCAUUGAGUUGGGCACUCUAGGGAGACUGCCGUGGAUAACACGGAGGAAGGUGGGGAUGACGUCAAAUCAUCAUGCCCCUUAUGUCUUGGGCUACACACGUGCUACAAUGGCUGGUAACAGAGUGAAGCGAGACGGCGACGUUAAGCAAAUCACAAAAACCCAGUCCCAGUUCGGAUUGUAGUCUGCAACUCGACUACAUGAAGCUGGAAUCGCUAGUAAUCGCGAAUCAGAAUGUCGCGGUGAAUACGUUCCCGGGCCUUGUACACACCGCCCGUCACACCAUGGGAGUUGGAAGCACCCGAAGUCGGUGACCUAACCGUAAGGAAGGAGCCGCCGAAGGUGAAGCCAGUGACUGGGGUGAAGUCGUAACAAGGUAGCCGUAUCGGAAGGUGCGGCUGGAUCACCUCCUUU